GAGGAAUAUUGGGCAAUGCCCGCAAGGGUGACCCAGCAACGCCGCGUGGAGGAUGAAUGUCGUAAGAUUGUAAACUCCUGUUAGAGGGGAAGAAUAGUACCGGUUGGACCGGUAUAUGACUGUACCCUCAGAGAAAGCCCCGGCUAACUACGUGCCAGCAGCCGCGGUAAUACGUAGGGGGCAAGCGUUGUCCGGAUUUACUGGGUGUAAAGGGCGCGCAGGCGGGAUAAAAAGUCAGUGGUGAAAUCCUAAAGCUUAACUGUAGAACUGCCUUUGAUACUUUUAUUCUUGAGUUCGGGAGAGAGAGACGGAAUUCCAGGUGUAGUGGUGAAAUACGUAGAUAUCUGGAAGAACACCAGUUGCGAAGGCGGUCUCUUGGUCCGACACUGACGCUGAGGCGCGAAAGCGUGGGGAGCAAACA
rnacentral:rRNA from 1 species